rnacentral:rRNA from 1 species
GUACACGCUGUGACUAGCAUAUCAAUAAGCGGAGGAAAAGAAACUAACAAGGAUUCCCCUAGUAACGGCGAGUGAAGCGGGAAGAGCUCAAAUUUGAAAUCUUAAAGGGUUUCCCUUUACGAAUUGUAGUUUAAAGAAGUGUUUUCUGUUGAGGUUUUGGUAAAAGUUCUUUGGAAUAGGACAUCAUAGAGGGUGAGAAUCCCGUAUUUGACCUUUACUUUCAACUUUGUGAUACACUUUCAAAGAGUCGGAUUGUUUGGGAAUGCAGUCCAAAAUGGGUGGUAAAUUUCAUCUAAAGCUAAAUAUUGGCGAGAGACCGAUAGCGAACAAGUACCGUGAGGGAAAGAUGAAAAGAACUUUGAAAAGAGAGUUAAACAGUACGUGAAAUUGUCAAAAGGGAAGCGUUUGACACCAGUGUUGUUUUUCUGAAAAUCAAUUAAAGAACUGUUUAUGCUAAGCUGUUUAGACUUUAUCAGCUAUCUGUUUAGUUUUGAGCUUUUCUUUAAUGCACUUUUCAGUUAACGAAGUCAACAUCAAUUUCUUUUGCUGUAAAAAAAGCUUGAGGAAGGUGGCUUGAGAUUCGUCUUAAGUGUUUAUAGCCUCUUGCCUAUGCAGUCGGAGAGAUUGAGGUCUGCAGCGUAGAUCCUUCGGGGCUAAAUGCAUUUGUGCUAAGUUAUAGCAUUUUAUAGACAACUUGUUGACUAUGAUUUGUCUUGUAGCUUACUCGCUUAUGUUAUUUUACCUACGCUUAGGAUGUUGAAGAUGUAGCACACAU